UUCUUUCUCCUUUCUGCUCGCUUUGUUUACUUUAAGUUCUCACUGCUGUUCGGAAGGACUACACAGAACUUGCUUCUUGGGCCACUCGCAACACACAGGUCAGAGCGCUCUUACAGAAAACAGGGAAAAAACAUGCUACCAAGAAGGAGAAAACUCAGUGAGAGUCCUGCCCUCCUUGGGUGAGAUCCGAGAAGCCAGAGCAGGCAAGGAGAGGUGGCCGGUUUCUGGAUCUGCGCUUCUGAGAACCACAUCCCAUGAAUAACAACCACAGAACAGUUGUGAAUGUCCUCACUCUGUGAUCAACCAAACACCAAGGGAAGGUUGUGGAGUGUUCAGAUCCUGCUGCCUGGAGCUGCUUGCUGUGGCAUUCAAGGCUCACUGUCCACACAGACACAGGAGGGAGGACACGGAGUCACCCUUGUGGUCUCCUGAAGGUCCCGUUCAUAUGAGGCGAUCUAGACAUAUAUUCUUACUAGAAACAGAGAUGGAUUAAAGGAAUUCUUUCCACAGUCUCCUACGUCCUUAUCAUUGCUGCAUAAGGGAUUACAUUAAGAAAAGAGGUGCAGAUGUGGAGCAGAGCAGAAAGAUCAGCCUCCGGGCUGCUCUUGCCCGUCAGAGCUGGGACGUCCUGGGACUGUCUUCUGGCUUCCCCGCUCACCAUCACCUUUGCUGGUGAGAAGACACUAAGACUAACCGUGCUGGACCCCCGGGGUUCACAGUUUGUCUCGAUGGCUGCAUUUAUUUAGUGUUGACUCUAAGCUUCACAAGAUUCUUCUAAGGAUGUGUUUUAUUAGCAGUCCAUUUCACAGAGAAGAAAACCAUGCCUGAGAGAGAUUAUGAAGUUUGUCCAAGGCCAUUCAGCUGGCGCUUCUCUUUGAAGAGAGACCUCUUGCCCUUGGAGUGUCAAGAUAAGAAAACUUUCAGCAACUUCCCUUGGAAACUACAAAACACCCAUCAGCACCCAGGAUCUAAGUACAGUCGCUCACCAGCUGCCAGCCCCUCUGAAUAGCUUUUAUGGUUCAGUGAAGGGUGGUGACAGGGCCGUGUCACUACCGUGGGGUGUGCUGUUUCUUUCAUGUUCCCAGGAUCUGACAAGAGCCUUCCACAACCUGUUUCUUUACAACACACGGAAUGAGAGAUUAAAGACCAGUACCAGACGUAAAGCUGGGGUUGGGACUAGCAACGAUCUCUCUCCAGAUGCAUUCUAAAUCUUUCUGGGAAAGAAGGGCUGCUGACCGCCCUAAGCAGAUGGUGUUCAAAAGCUGUCAUGAUGAUUAAAUGAGAUAAUACAUGUAAAAUACGUAUGACGUAGUAAACAUCCACAA